AGCGGUAAGGCCUUUCGGGGUACACGAGCGGCGAACGGGUGAGUAACACGUGGGUGAUCUGCCCUGCACUCUGGGAUAAGCUUGGGAAACUGGGUCUAAUACCGGAUAUGACCACAUGCCGCAUGGGGUGUGGUGGAAAGAUUUAUCGGUGCAGGAUGGGCCCGCGGCCUAUCAGCUUGUUGGUGGGGUAAUGGCCUACCAAGGCGACGACGGGUAGCCGACCUGAGAGGGUGACCGGCCACACUGGGACUGAGACACGGCCCAGACUCCUACGGGAGGCAGCAGUGGGGAAUAUUGCACAAUGGGCGGAAGCCUGAUGCAGCGACGCCGCGUGAGGGAUGAAGGCCUUCGGGUUGUAAACCUCUUUCAGCAGGGACGAAGCGUGAGUGACGGUACCUGCAGAAGAAGCACCGGCUAACUACGUGCCAGCAGCCGCGGUAAUACGUAGGGUGCGAGCGUUGUCCGGAAUUACUGGGCGUAAAGAGUUCGUAGGCGGUUU
rnacentral:rRNA from 1 species